AUUGAACGCUGGCGGCAUGCCUUACACAUGCAAGUCGAACGGUAACGCGGGGCAACCUGGCGACGAGUGGCGAACGGGUGAGUAAUGCAUCGGAACGUGCCCAGUAGUGGGGGAUAGCCCGGCGAAAGCCGGAUUAAUACCGCAUACGACCUACGGGUGAAAGGGGGGGAUCGCAAGACCUCUCGCUAUUGGAGCGGCCGAUGUCAGAUUAGGUUGUCGGUGGGGUAAAGGCCUACCAAGCCGACGAGCUGUAGCUGGUCUGAGAGGACGACCAGCCACGCUGGGACUGAGACACGGCCCAGACUCCUACGGGAGGCAGCAGUGGGGAAUUUUGGACAAUGGGCGAAAGCCUGAUCCAGCCAUGCCGCGUGCGGGAAGAAGGCCUUCGGGUUGUAAACCGCUUUUGUCAGGGAAGAAAUCUUCUGGGUUAAUACCUCGGGAGGAUGACGGUACCUGAAGAAUAAGCACCGGCUAACUACGUGCCAGCCGCCGCGGUAA
rnacentral:rRNA from 1 species